AAGUACCGAUUAGUAGCAGUUCAAUAUAAAUUCAUAUUGAAAUGUGCUGUAAAAAUAAGAUGAUAUUAAGUAUAAAACUAUUUAUAUUGACUUAUAGAAACUUUUACACAAAGGUUAGAAGGAAAGUGGAUCAUUAGUGUGUAUUACAGAUCAAAUGUUUGCUGUAUAUCAGAUGUUCCCAAAUCCAGUGCUUAAAAUGUCAUCUUCUACUCAUCAGAUAAUUAUCAAAGCUUUCAUAUGAUGAAUUUUUUGGAAAACACAAAUCGGUAAAUAUGUAGAGCUGAACAUGUUUGCUGUGGUGUACUUUUUUCAUAAGUUCAGUGGACUUCUUGGUUGAAACCACUCAUUUAAAACCAUACUAAUAACUAAGUGGACAUUUCUGCCCCAGCAUUGCUCAGAAGGUCUACGGCCGCCGAUUUUCUGAGGUCCGGCAGGGAGAAGAGAGCCGCUCGGUGUGUGAACGGUGACUGCAGCUCAGAGAACAGCGAGUCCGAGGAGGCCAACUCCGAUUACGAGCAAGAGAACUCAAAGAUGCUCUUUCCAGGUGGAUCACAAGUAGGGGUGCUCAAGGCCCCUUUCGGAGGUUCCAGGCAGGAAGGUUCAGGUAUGUAGCCCUGAGGCAGAAAUUGUGUGUGUAAAAGUUGAAAGUGAGCCUGAGGCGAACCUGACCAGGAAAGCCCUACGCUUUUGGAUGUAAGGAGCAACACUCAACAUGCAAUACCAACACGCACGCCAAUGGAUCACACAGCGGGUUGAGAAUAUGUUACUAUAUGUUUAAAAAAAAAAAAGCAUAGCAAACGUAAAGUCUUAUAUACCUAUACAUAUUAAAAACACAGUGACUUUGAACCUAAUAUGCCUAAUUUUACAUUAGAAAUAAUUAAUAUUAUACAUAUUGGUUGGCAUUAUAGCCAGGAUAUGAUUUUUUUUUUUCCUGAAGUACAUGGAUAAGAUUCUCGUAAUAAGUACAUUAAUGUAGACAAGGUGCUGCCAAUCUUGGUGCUUUUUGUAAAAAUAAAUAAAUAAAUAAAUAAAUAAAUAAAUAAAUAUAUAAUGCUGCUGAUUUUUCUUUUCCGAUUCAUAUUAACUUGUUUCUCUAGAGUAGGUAUAUGACUCUAAAGCUACAUAAAUGCAAAAACAACUGGCAUUGUUCACUUUUCUCAGUUUAUAUCUUUCAUACAGUCUUGUCUGGGUCUUGCACCAUGGCAUGAAUUUUGAUAAAUGAUCACAAUACAAUGUACAGUAACUAGAUUUGUAACCAUUUUACAAAACUAAUAUGGGUAAUGUAUCUAUUAUAUUUUAUUCUCUAUUAAUAUCAUCUAAGCUAUU